GUGUUCGCUUUGGCAGCACAUAUACUAAAACUAGAACUAUACAGAGAAGAUUAGCAUGGCCCCUGCACAAGGAUGGCAUGCAAAUUCGUGAAGCGUUCUGUGUUUUU
ensembl:snRNA U6 U6 spliceosomal RNA